ensembl:lncRNA
CAUAAAAAUACCCAAAAUACAAACUUUUAGCAUAAAGAAUGAGGAAUCGGGGCGAUGCAAGGUCACCUGUCCUGUGUCUUUGUGUUCUCUCUGAUUAUCUAAGAGCAUCCUCAGUGUGAGUUCAGCUCAGUUACUUCACAGCUCUGCUUUGAUUGGACGGUUCGUUUGAACGGAGCUCUGCAGCACAACCAGCGGUCGAUGUUCAGCAGCAGCGGUUCACUCUGCUGUUCACCUGCUGGAGGAUCAGACCACACAACUCAGAGGCUCCUGAGCAACAUGAUGGACGGAUGAAAUGCUGCAAGUCUCCCAGCAGGAUUAUGGAUCUAAUCUAAGUCCCUCUGAGUUCUCCAUCAGACAUGGUUCUACCAGAAAAACCCUCCAGAACUUCUGCUCCUAAGAAGGUCCAGGAGCAGCGGGCCCUGCGGCACCAGAACCUUCCCUCCCCGGCCCUCUGCUGCGCCUGCGGACUCUGCAUCAUGCUGGCCGGCAUCAACAUCACCCUGGUAGGAGCUUUCGCCUUCAGCACCUUCAUCCCCACCGCCAACCCCCCCAUCAUCAUCGGGCCUCUGCUCCUGCUGCUGGCGCUGGCUUUCUUCUCGGCCUGCUGCGUGGUCAGCAGGAGGCCUCCGGCCCACAUGGCCAGCCGGGCCAAAGGAGGCGAGAAGUGGGGGCUGAUGAGGAUGGGGACGGCGGCUUUCGAGAUGGAGACGAGCGAACACACCCUGCAGGACACGACGGCCGUCCAGCUCAGCCCCACCAACUCCCCCAGCUCCUCCCACAAGUCCAGCUCCAGCCAUGGAGACGCUUCUGCCGCUCUGCCUUCCUGCCAGGAUGGAGCCGGAGAGCUGCUCAUAGCAGAGACGUCUGACGUGAGAGUCGCUGCAGAUAAAGCGACCCUGACCUCUGACACCAAGAAACCCACUUCCACACAGAACUCCUCUGCUACGUAACAUGGACCGUCUACUGCCUGUCUGAGCAUCUGAUCACAGCCGCUCUGUUCUUGUUUCAGAUUAUUGUCUGUUACAGCAUCACCUGUCGGGAUGGAGCUGCAGGGGUGAGCUGAUUAGUCAAUAACUACACCUGCUUUUGUCAUUUUAAGCAAAAAUAUCAAAUGUUUGUCAGUUCUGACUGCAGAGUUUUGUUGCUGUUUUUGUCAAACAUGAUGCUCAGCUGAUUAAUACAUUGGCCUGUGAAAUUAAUCAAAAUUCUUUCCCUUUUUUUCUUACAUUUUACAGAUAAAAUUAUGAAUGAAUUAAUAGAAAUUUCACAGAGCUGCAGGUUUGAUGCUUUUUUUAUAUCACACAUGACCCAUCCAUCCAUCCAGUAUCUAUACACCGCUUAAUCCUCACUAGGGUCAUGGGGGGGGCUGGAGUCUAUCCCAGCUGACUCAGGUGAAGGCAGGGGACACCCUAGACAGGUCACCAGUCUGUCACAGGGCUACAUACAGAGACAAACAAUCACUCUCACAUUCACACCUACGGGCAAUUUAGAAUGAUCAAUUAACCUCAGCAUAUUUUUGGACUGUGGGAGGAAGCCGGAGUACCCGGAGAAAACCCACACAUGCACAGGGAGAACAUGCAAACUCCAUGCAGAAAGAUCCCGGGAAAGCCGGGACGUGAACCAGGGAUCUUCUAGCUGCAAGGUGAAAGUGCUAACCACUACACCACUGUGCAGCUCCUCACACAUGACCAUCAACUGAUUUUUUUUUUUUUUAUAAAACAAGACCUGUGAAUUUCUAAUCUACAUUUCUCACUAUUUCCUGCCAUUUUGCAGACAAACUGAUGAAUAAUUUAAUAGAAAUCUCACAAAGCUGCAGAUCUGAUGCUUUUUCUUGUCACACAUGACCAUAAAGUUUUUUUUUUUUUUUUGACAAAACAAGACCUACUGUGAAAUUAUAACUAUAAUUUCUCACUAUUUUCUGCUAUUUUGCAGAUAAAGUGAUGAAUCGAAAAUCUUAGAGCUGCAGAUAUAUUUUUUGUCACAGACAACCAUAAAGUGAAUAUUUCUGGCAUUUUUUUUAAAGCAAGACUUUCACUGUGUAAUUAAAUCGGCACGUUUUGCUAUUUUCCAACAUUUUUUUCUGGGAAAUAUGAAGGAGUUUGCAGAUUUUAUAAUUUUUUUUGUCACACAUGACCAUGAGGUGAAUAUUUUGGUGUUUUAACAAAUCACAACUUACUGUGAAAUUCUAACUGACAUUUUUCACCAUUUUCUGC